rnacentral:rRNA from 1 species
GUGGGGAAUAUUGGACAAUGGGCGAAAGCCUGAUCCAGCCAUGCCGCGUGUGUGAAGAAGGUCUUCGGAUUGUAAAGCACUUUAAGUUGGGAGGAAGGGCAGUAAGUUAAUACCUUGCUGUUUUGACGUUACCGACAGAAUAAGCACCGGCUAACUUCGUGCCAGCAGCCGCGGUAAUACGAAGGGUGCAAGCGUUAAUCGGAAUUACUGGGCGUAAAGCGCGCGUAGGUGGUUGUGUAAGUUGUAGGUGAAAUCCCCGGGCUCAACCUGGGAACUGCCUCCAAAACUGCAUGACUAGAGUACGGUAGAGGGUAGUGGAAUUUCCUGUGUAGCGGUGAAAUGCGUAGAUAUAGGAAGGAACACCAGUGGCGAAGGCGACUACCUGGACUGAUACUGACACUGAGGUGCGAAAGCGUGGGGAGCAAACAGGAUUAGAAACCCCGGUAGUCC